UAGAUCACCAUGACCUGGAUGACUGAGAACCUACAGACAUAUUGACCUUGUUUCUAGGUUGCAUGACAGGUCAGAGGUCAGUGACUGUAACUCACUUCCUUCUGUUAAUGUGAACUCACGGAGUGUUUGUGGUUUACCUCUCAGACUGACUUAAGUCCACAAGAAGAUGAUGAUGGAGGAAGAGGAGGACAGAGCAGAGUCUGCAGGAUCUAGCCAUCCCUCUGUGACCAGUGACCAGUCCAAAGGUCAAAAUCAAGCCUUCAGAGCUGAACCUGGACCAACGAGAGGUCACAGUCUGAAGGAUCCAGUCAUCCGUCUGUGAGGAGUGACCAGUCCAAAGGUCACACUCCAGACUUCAGUAAUGAAUCUGGACCAACGAGUCGCUCCUAAAUAUACGAGCCACUGUUCAGGAGCAUCCCGACUGGCCCUAGGAUGUCAGGAAUUUCGUAUCCCACCCAUGCUAGAGAUCGUACCAUUGUUCCUCUGAUGCGGCCCACCUUGCCUUCCAUCCAGGAAGAAAAUGCCACAGAAGACGAAGGAAACAGGGCAGUGUGUUGGUAAAAUGUAAUAACUGCAUGGCUGCAUCACUCAUGACUAAUCCCUGCGUUCUUCUGAACAAACUUGCCCCGGACCUCGGGUUGUUCAUUUCCUGGCAAUUCCUGGAAUCUGGAUCGUACCUGUGGCUCCACAUCUCAGUGUCCAGCUUUCAUGGCAACUGUUUCAACUGUCAGCAGCUAACAGCUGAUGUUUACAUCAGCUUUGAACUGCAGUUGAUUGCAGUCCAGCUGUCCACUCCAGUGCUGUGUACCGACCACCGGAAUACAACAAGAAUUUUAUCCAAGACUUCUCUGAAUUCUUAGCAGGAAUUAUUCCAAGAUAUGACAGUCUUAAUUCCAGGGGAUUUAAUAUCCAUGUUUGCUCCUUAAACACACCGCUGACUAAUGACUUUUUAAAUCUUAUAGACUUUUUAAAAAUCUUGUUCAGUCAGUUAAAGGCCCAACUCAGGAACGUGGACACACUUUGGAUCUUGUGCUGUCUAGUGGCCUGACUCUCUGUGACACUCUCUGUGACACUCUGUGCGAUGUUAAACAUGCUGUGGUGGAGCCUAUUCCUAAAAAAUAAAACCUGGAUCCAACUGUUUAGGCUUCCACUUAAAUGUAAAUCUGUGAGCAUGUAAGACACAGAUAUCUUAAGUUUCUUAAUUUAAAUGAACAGAAAACAGAGGUCAUUGUGUUUGGUCCCUGUGACCGCUACGAUCUUGGCCCUUUAGAGAUUUAUAAAAAACCUUUUGUGAGGACCUUCAUAGUGAUUUUUCACAGUAAUCUAACUUUUGAUUAACAGUUAAACAGUUUGCUGUAAACAAAGCGAGAUUUUUUUCUUCUCUGGCUACAUGCAAAAGUGAAGCCAUCCCUCUUGUUACAGGCAUUGCCCUUUAAGAAUGUAGCCUCAUGGGUAGUGUAGUCCGUGCUGCAGGCAGAAUGUGUGGGACUGCCCCUCCCAAUGUGUGUGUGAGAGCGAGGGAGGGAGAAAGUACGAGUUGCUACUGACGAGAAAUGGAAGAUGAAAGCAUGUAAAUAUAAUAACAACCACUGCAGCCAAAGAGAGUGACUGAUGAGCCCAGUUGUAAGUAAGCUGUCAAGACUCGACUGUACACUGUGUUCACCGCCUCUAAAACAAUAAA